GCUAAGAAUCUAGCCCUAUUUAACUUAAUAACCCUCAAUUUAUUACCUUAUUAACUAAAACAUUCUAAUAAUUUAGUAAAGGCGAUUAAAAAAUUUCUAGGAGCAAUAUAUAUAGUACCGCAAGGGAAAGAUGAAAUAAAAAUGAAAUUAAUUUAGGCACAAAAAAGUAGAGACUUACCCUCGUACCUUUUGCAUCAUGAUUUAACUAGUUAAACCGAGCAAAAAGACUUUUAGUUUGACAUCCCGAAACUAGGCGAGCUACUCCGAGACAGCUUUAUGAGCAACCCCGUCUCUGUUGCAAAAGAGUGGGAAGAUCUCCGAGUAGAGGUGACAGACCUAACGAGCCUAGUGAUAGCUGGUUACUUAAGAAAAGGGUUUUAGCCCCGCCCAAUGUUAAUAUUAUACCAAAAAAUAACAUAUAACUUUGGAGUAAUUCAAAUAAGGUACAGCCUAUUUGAAGCAGGAUACAACCUAGACAAAUGGGUAAUAAAAGCUCUUACUACAAUUAAGUAGGCCUAAAAGCAGCCAUCUUUUAAAAAGCGUCAAAGCUUAAUUUUUAAAAAGCAAAAUUACAUUAAUUUUUUUAAACCCUUACCUACUAUUAAGUACUCUCAUACAAAUAUGAAACAUAUUAUGUUAAAAUUAGUAACAAGAAGAGAACCUUCUCUCAAAUGUAAAUGUAAAUCAGAAAGGAUACACCACUGAUAAUUAACACUGCUGAAAGCAAAGUAGUAACCUCGCAAGAAAACUCUACUAAAUUGACUGUUAACCUAACACAAGCACAUUAUAAGAAAGAUUAAAAGAAAAAGAAGGAACUCGGCAAAUUUUAACCCCGCCUGUUUACCAAAAACAUCGCCUCUUGGUAUAUCAUAAGAGGUCCAGCCUGCCCAGUGACUCUGUUCAACGGCCGCGGUAUUCUAACCGUGCGAAGGUAGCGUAAUCACUUGUUCUUUAAAUAAGGACUAGUAUGAAUGGCACCACGAGGGUUAAACUGUCUCCUUUUUUCAAUCAGUGAAAUUGAUCUCCCCGUGAAGAAGCGGGAAUAACACUAUAAGACGAGAAGACCCUAUGGAGCUUUAAACAAACUACAAUCGCUUUACUAUCAACAAAUUUAUGAAGAUUAAAAAGAACCUUAGCGCCAUGAUAGAGAGUUUUAGGUUGGGGUGACCGCGGAGAAAAAUUUAUCCUCCGCAUUGAAUAAGAUUAUAACUUUAGCUAAAAAUUACGAUUUAACGCAUCAAUAAAUUGACAUUAUUGACCCAAUAUUUUUGAACAACGAACCAAGUUACCCUAGGGAUAACAGCGCAAUCCAUUUCAAGAGCUCUUAUCGACAAAUGGGUUUACGACCUCGAUGUUGGAUCAGGGUAUCCUAGUGGUGCAGCCGCUACUAAUGGUUCGUUUGUUCAACGAUUAAAACCCU
rnacentral:rRNA from 1 species